GAUGAACGCUGGCGGCGUGCUUAACACAUGCAAGUCGAACGGAAAGGCCCAAGUUUGCUUGGGGACUCGAGUGGCGAACGGGUGAGUAACACGUGGGUGAUCUGCCCCGCACUUCGGGAUAAGCCUAGGAAACUGGGUCUAAUACCGGAUAGGACCACUUCCUGGUGGUUGUGGUGGAAAGUUUGUUCGGUGUGGGAUGAGCUCGCGGCCUAUCAGCUUGUUGGUGGGGUAAUGGCCUACCAAGGCGUCGACGGGUAGCCGGCCUGAGGGGGUGUACAGCCACAAUGGUACUAAGGUGCGGCCCAGACUCCUACGGGGGGCAGCAGUGGGGAGUAAUGCACAGUAGGCGGAAGCCGGAUGCAGCGGCGCCGCGUGGGGGAUGACGGCCUUCGGGUUGUAAACUCCUUUCGCUAGGGACGAAGCGCAAGUGACGGUACCUAGAGAAGAAGCACCGGCUAACUACGUG
rnacentral:rRNA from 1 species